ACGAGGCUGUAUAAACUGUUUACUUGAUCUGGGUUUCAAGUUUCUUCUCAUUUGUUAAAAGAGACUGAAACUACUUCAACUCGUUUCUAUUUCAUAAAAGCUGUACAAUCAUUAGGGAAAUGGCUUCAGAUGAGACAAUUCAAGGAGAGAAAAAUCAUUGCAAUAGUAUUGCAUAGAUAUACCUCACCUAACUUCAUGCCCGGGCAUUGCAGUACAGUCACUGUUGACUGUUUUACUAUGAUCCAAAGGCGAUUGACACUCAUGCUUACUGGCCUCUACUCUUCGCGUAAUUCAAGUGGAUUUCGAUGCGUUCUGCUCCUAAGCUGCCGUUCACUUCCUUGACUAACCUUAAGCAAAGGAACUUGGGUCAUUUGAUGUCAUUCGGAACUGAACAUUAAAACAGUUGAGCUAACCGAGCCGAUUUCCCUUUCACCUGCAUGGUGACUGUGUGGAUGGUUUCAAAGCAGGGUCACAAGACUUUAAAUUUACCGGUGCCUUCUGAAAAUCAGGGGCAAGGCGAGUCACUUGCUGAGUUCUGCAUUUGUCGAAUGACAAAUAUAUGGUGGAAAACCACAUUUACUCAGGAGCGCCAAGUAAGCCAUUGGGUUUUGGAAGAAGCAACCCAUCACCAGUAUAGGAGUCAUGUAGUCAAUCGGAGAUUGUACACACAACAGUCCGUCCGACUGUGGGAUAAGUACAAAACUUGAGAUAGGAUAAGGUUAAUAAUUUGAAAAUCUUAACUGUAAAUUGUGUAUUUAUAAUACUUAUCCUAACUCAAACAAUGGAUUCAAUGGACUUACCCCACUACACAUAUUACAACAUUGGCUCCACGAAAGAGAAUGACUAGACAAAGGAGUCACAUGAUCAACCGAGGCCAUGCUGCAAGCUUCUAAGGAGGCUACCAGGCUGUCCAGUAGGGGGAGCAGUAAAGACUGUUUUUGUGCGAAUGGUACAAGAGACGCCAGAAACUUUGUUUACGGUUGGUUUCCACUCAACAGUCGAUCAUACCGGAGAGAAUACAAAAAGUGAGAUAGGAUAAGUAUUAUAAAUAUACAAUUCAUAGUUACAAUUUUUCAAUUUGUCAAUGUGUGUAUAUCAACUGGAGUUGUUGCACCCCUCAGUAAAUAUAUAAUAUAUACAGUGGAAACUAAACAUACCAGAUAAGUAAACACUAUUUUUUGGUCCAGGCAAAUUUCUUCAUUACUUAUCAUUAUUAGAGUCCGGUUAACUAAACUCAGAUAAGUAAACAAUAACGCUUAACUAAACGUUUUUUCACGAUCCCUGGAAGUAAAUUCCUUAACAAAAGAAACCGGACAACUAAAUAAGCGAUCAACACAUAAUCCGACAAGAGGGGUACGUGUCAGUCUCCGGCUAAACAAACAUCCUACUUACAGCUCGCAGGCGUCAUUUCCGGGUUUUGAUAAGUUUUGAUAAGUUAAAUACCUGAUAAGUAAACAAUUUUGGUGAGUCCCUUGAAAUUUUACGUAUCAGGUUUAUACUGGUGUAUAUGUGUAUAUCCACUGGAGUUGUUGCACCCCUCAGUAGGUGUAUAUGUGUAUAUCCACUGGAGUUGUUGCACCCCUCAGUAGGUGUAUAUGUGUAUAUCCACUGGAGUUGUUGCACCCCUCAGUAGGUGUAUAUGUGUAUAUCCACUGGAGUUGUUGCACCCCUCAGUAGGUGUAUAUGUGUAUAUCCACUGGAGUUGUUGCAUCCCUCAGUAGGUGUAUAUGUGUAUAUCCACUGGAGUUGUUGCACCCCUCAGUAGCACUGGAGUUGUUGCCCCCCUCAGUAGGUGUAUAUGUGUAUAUCCACUGGAGUUGUUGCACCCCUCAGUAGCACUGGAGUUGUUGCCCCCCUCAGUAGGUGUAUAUGUGUAUAUCCACUGGAGUUGUUGCACCCCUCAGUAGGUGUAUAUGUGUAUAUCCACUGGAGUUGUUGCACCCCUCAGUAGGUGUAUAUGUGUACUGGAGUUGUUGCCCCCCUCAGUAGGUGUAUAUGUGUAUAUCCACUGGAGUUGUUGCACCCCUCAGUAGGUGUAUAUGUGUAUAUCCACUGGAGUUGUUGCACCCCUCAGUAGGUGUAUAUGUGUAUAUCCACUGGAGUUGUUGCCCCCCUCAGUAGGUGUAUAUGUGUAUAUCCACUGGAGUUGUUGCCCCCUCAGUAGGUGUAUAUGUGUAUAUCCACUGGAGUUGUUGCACCCCUCAGUAGGUGUAUAUGUGUAUAUCCACUGGAGUUGUUGCCCCCCUCAGUAGGUGUAUAUGUGUAUAUCCACUGGAGUUGUUGCCCCCCUCAGUAGGUGUAUAUGUGUAUAUCCACUGGAGUUGUUGCACCCCUCAGUAGGUGUAUAUGUGUAUAUCCACUGGAGUUGUUGCACCCCUCAGUAGGUGUAUAUGUGUAUUUUCACAAUAGUUGUUGAACCCAUCUCUGUUAUACCUCUGUCAGUAUUGCCCAUGUUACAACUUGUAAAAUGAAUCAAAGUCUGUAGGCAUUAGCAUUGAUAAGAUAAAUGAAACAACCAAUGUGAAAUUCAAAUAAAAAAAACUGUUGUGGUCAUGUGAUCAUUGAGAAUACUCAUCUGAAGUGUGUGUGUGGAUGUGUGUGUGGAUGUAUGUAGUUUGUUAUGGGUAUAUUAUAUGGGCUAGAACAUGUAUCUGUGUGGAUGAAUGUAGUUUGUUACGAGUAUUUUAUAUGGGCUAGAACAUGUAUCUGUGUAGAUGUAUGUAGUUUGUUACAAGUAUUUUAUAUGUGCUAGAACAUGUAUCUAUGUAGAUGUAUGUAGUUUGUUACGAGUAUUUUAUAUGGGCUAGAACAUGUAUCUGUGUAGAUGUAUGUAGUUUGUUUUAUUAUGUUAUUUGGAUGUAUGUCAUUUGUUACAAGUAUAUAAUAUAGGGACAACAUGUGUACAUGUUGAUGUAUGUAGUUUCUUUUAUGGGGGAGAGAAUGUAUAUAUAAUAUAUGUAUAUAUAACUAUCUUCGUAUUCAGAUGCUAUUUGAAUGUGCCAGUGAGAAAUGAAGGUGUCUUACUAAUGUAAGGAUUACCAUGUUUUACAUGUUCUACCAUGAUGUGAACUUCAUGUUGAAAACUCUGGUUGUUGAACUGGCGUUGACAGAUGGUGAUAUCUGAGACUUGGUAGCAAGUGUACAGUUUGCUAAUUUUAUACAGUAUUCAUGUUUCAUACAUCUUUGUAACAAUACCUUUGGCAAAACCAUGUCAGUGGUUCAUAUGGGUGACUGAGGAAACUCUAAUUGUACAGAGGAUCCUUUCUCUGUUGUCUUUGCAAAUGGUGUUUUCAGUCUCAAUCCCAAUGUUGAUGUUAGCAGGAUCUGUUGAGCAGCUGUAUCUGGGGGUAGUGAUCUGCAGCUGUGUUGAUCUUCAGCAGCUGUAUCUGGGGUGUAGUCAUCUGUAGCUGCAGUAUCUGUUGUGUUGAUCUUCAGCAGCUGUAUCUGGGGGUAGUCAUCUGUAGCUGCAGUAUCUGCUGUGUUGAUCUUCAGCAGCUGUAUCUGGAGGUAGUGAUAUCCAGCGACACAAUCUGCUGUGCCAAUAUUCAGCAGCUGUAUCUUGGUGUAGUGAUAUCCAGUAACACGAUCUGCUGUGCCAAUAUUCAGCAGCUGUAUCUGGGUGCAGUGAUAUCUAGCGGCACAAUCUGCUGUGUUGAUCUUCGACAGCUGUAUCUGGGGGUAGUGAUCUAUAGCUGCAGGAUCUGCUGUGUGGAUCAGCAGCUGUAUCUGGGUUAGUGAUCUUCAGCAGCUGUAUCUGGGGGUAGUGAUCUGCAACCUAAACUUUACACUCUUGGACCUUUGCAUCUUGGUUUUCUUGGAGAAAAUCUUUGUUCCCUAAUACUGAUUAUAGAAUUUUAAAAUCGUUGUUACAUUAUGUAGUAAGGUACUCAAUAUGGGGGGCAACUCUUGUAGGCUUAAAAAUGAACCUUACCACAUCAAGAGUUAUGUCCCCUGGAGUAGCAGACAGCUUCCUUUGUUGGCAUGGCAGAUUUGACAGCAGAAGAGAAAAGAAAGUCUGGUUUUAGAUGAUUUUGAGAGGGGUGUGACUAAGGCAAAGAGUUAGCUGGUAGACAUGACAUUCCUCUGUCUACAGUAUACAGAACUUUGAAGAAUAUUCAGUCAGGAGUUGGGACUGAGCACUAGACAGGGGCAGGGAGGCCAAGGAAGUUCAGUACUACGGAUCGCCGGCAACUUGGUCAGAUUGUGAAUAGGGGAAAACUGAAAAGCAUUGAUAAUAUCAGAAAUGAGAUGAUUUUUAGAGGAAGUCCUCAGGUAUGUAAUGAAACUCUUAGACAAGAAUUACAAAGACUUAACAGGGUGAAAAAAGUGUGGAAUUCCCUCACCAUUGAUGAAAGAUGCACAAAAAGAAAGACAUUCUAACUGGUGUAGGGCUCACAAAAUUCAAGAUAUGAUAAUGUUUUCUUUUCUGAUGAAAGUUCUGUCUGUUUUUUUCCAAACUGUGUGAAAAGUUGGACAAAAGAUGCCUUGAAACCUGUCAACCAACUCCCAAGACAUAGCCCGAAAUUUCACAUGUGGGGUUGGAUAUCAUCACGUGGAGUGACGCCAUUGUGUAUUUGCAUUGGAAAUUUGACGAAUGAACGAUAUGUUGACAUAAUAAAUGAUAACCUCCUUCCAACGGCCCAAACACUGUAUGAAGAUACCAGUAAUUGGAUUUUCCAGCAUGAUAACAACCCAAAA